rnacentral:rRNA from 1 species
GACGAGGGACCUAGCGUUGUUCGGAAUCAUUGGGCGUAAAGCGAAUGUAGGCUGCUCUUCAAGUCAGUUGUGAAAGCCCCGGGCUCAACCCGGGAAGUGCUUCUGAUGACUGUUGAGCUUGAGUACUGGAGAGGAUAGUAGAAUUCCAGGUGUAGUGGAUGAAAUACGUAGAUAUCUGGAGGAAUACCGGUGGCGAAGGCGGCGUAUCUCGGCCAU